AUACAUUCGAGUAACAAUCAUUAAUUUUAAUGUCGUUCAAUACAAGACAAUACAAUACGUAGCAUAAAUCAAUAGCAUUCAAGUAUGCUGUGAGCAUGAUGCAAUAAAAAAAGGUUCCUACCCAAACCAUCCGUUACACACCCCGGGUUCCCCAGAACCCAUCUUCCAAACUCCAAUGAAUGCAAGCAAAGCUCGAUGUGGUAAA
rnacentral:lncRNA from 1 species